rnacentral:lncRNA from 1 species
CAUUCUCAUCUUAGCCUCCCUGGCCACCAUCUUCCUUGUGUGCACGGUGGUGCUGGCCGUCCGCCUCUCCCGUAAGACGCACAUGUACCCAGUGCGGAACUACUCCCCCACAGAGAUGAUCUGCAUCUCAUCCUUGCUUCCCGAGGGGGGUGACGGGGCCCCUGUCACAGCCAACGGGGGCCUGCCCAAGGUCCAGGACCAGAAGACAGAACGCAGUGGGGACCCGGAUGGGGAUGACCUCACCCUGCACAGCUUCCUCCCUUAGCCCACCUGAGCAAGACCCUUGCUGGUUCCAUGAUUACCCCAUCAGUCAUGAAGGCCAUAGAUUUGGGCCUCCUGGGUGAAGUGUAUACACAGGACUCUUUAGGGAAGGGACCUUACGCCACUCCAAUCAGGGUCCAGAGCCCCCAAGGUCCUGAGCUUCCUGCUUUGUUCCUGGAGCCUGGUGGCCUCCAGGACAAGGUCUACAGUAACAUUAACAUUCUCCACCUCUUUUCUGUUUUGUCUGAUAUCCCCGUCCCCAUUGCCCUCCCACUGCUGUGUGUCCCCCGCAGGUCACUGGAUUCCUGUCCUUCCAUUAAGAAGGACUCAGCUCCCUUCCCCCACUCCCAAAGC